rnacentral:rRNA from 1 species
UACGAAGGGGGCUAGCGUUGUCCGGAAUUACUGGGCGUAAAGCGUGCGCAGGCGGCUUUCCAAGGCAGAUGUGAAAUCCCCGGGCUCAACCUGGGAAUGGCAUUUGUGACUGGAAGGCUAGAGUGUGUCAGAGGGGGGUAGAAUUCCACGUGUAGCAGUGAAAUGCGUAGAGAUGUGGAGGAAUACCGAUGGCGAAGGCAGCCCCCUGGGAUAACACUGACGCUCAUGCACGAAAGCGUGGGGAGCAAACAGG